rnacentral:rRNA from 1 species
GAUGAACGCUGGCGGAAUGCUUUACACAUGCAAGUCGAACGAUGAACCUUAGCUUGCUAAGGGAAUUAGUGGCGAACGGGUGAGUAAUGUAUCGGAACGUAUCCAAUAAUGGGGGAUAACUAGUCGAAAGAUUAGCUAAUACCGCAUACGUCCUACGGGAGAAAGCUAGGGACCUUCGGGCCUGGCGUUAAUGGAGCGGCCGAUAUCUGAUUAGCUAGUUGGUGGGGUAAAGGCUCACCAAGGCGACGAUCAGUAGCUGGUCUGAGAGGACGACCAGCCACACUGGAACUGAGACACGGUCCAGACUCCUACGGGAGGCAGCAGUGGGGAAUAUUGCACAAUGGGCGCAAGCCUGAUGCAGCCAUGCCGCGUGUAUGAAGAAGGCCUUCGGGUUGUAAAGUACUUUCAGCGGGGAGGAAGGCGUUAAGGUUAAUAACCUUGGCGAUUGACGUUACCCGCAGAAGAAGCACCGGCUAACUCCGUGCCAGCCGCCGCAGUAA